rnacentral:rRNA from 1 species
UACGUAGGGUGCAAGCGUUGUCCGGAUUUAUUGGGCGUAAAGAGCUCGUAGGCGGUUUGUCGCGUCGGAUGUGAAAACCCAGGGCUCAACCCUGGGCCUGCAUUCGAUACGGGCAGACUAGAGUAUGGCAGGGGAGACUGGAAUUCCUGGUGUAGCGGUGAAAUGCGCAGAUAUCGGGAGGAACACCGGUGGCGAAGGCGGGUCUCUGGGCCAAAACUGACGCUGAGGAGCGAAAGCGUGGGGAGCGAACAGG